rnacentral:rRNA from 1 species
AACGAACGCUGGCGGCAGGCUUAACACAUGCAAGUCGAACGCGAAAUCACCUUCGGGUGGUGGAGAGUGGCAGACGGGUGAGUAACGCGUGGGAACCUACCUAGUGGUACGGAAUAACUCAGGGAAACUUGGGCUAAUACCGGAUGUGCCCGAAAGGGGAAAGAUUCAUCGCCACUAGAUGGGCCCGCGUCGGAUUAGCUUGUUGGUGAGGUAACGGCUCACCAAGGCGACGAUCCGUAGCUGGUCUGAGAGGAUGAUCAGCCACACUGGGACUGAGACAUGGCCCAGACUCCUACGGGAGGCAGCAGUGGGGAAUAUUGGACAAUGGGCGCAAGCCUGAUCCAGCCAUGCCGCGUGAGUGAUGAAGGCCCUAGGGUUGUAAAGCUCUUUCGGCGGGGACGAUAAUGACGGUACCCGCAGAAGAAGCCCCGGCUAACUUCGUGCCAGCAGCCGCAGUAA